AUGCACAGUUAAAUUUAACAAUUGCAUUGGAACUAGGUUUUAGAGUUUCAGAAAUCGCACAGAAAACGUCUUGCGUCGCAUUUUCAAAAGAUGAACGCCUUGAAUAAUGGUUCCAGUCAAGGUGGAAGACAAUACGCUGACAUGGAAUAUGAAAUUAAAAAACUUCAAGAUGAAAAUAGUACAAUGAAGAAAAUGUUAGGAGUAACGGUAUGUUUUUCUUCAAGAGUCUCUCAUAAAAUAUCUUUCCUUGCCACUGAUGUUUCGUAAGUAUGAAUUGAAAAUAUCGAAAUAUAUGGCUGGGUCUUUACUACAUUUUUUUAAUCGCACAGAACGGAGAAGCAAAAGACAGGCCAAAUGUGUCAAGGUGAAAAAGCCAUAACCAAU